UACAAAUUCACUUUGUGCGAUAGCACGGAUAGUUCUAAAGUGAAUAAUAAAGCAUUUAAGAAUAAACAAUGAUGAUCUAGAAUGAAUCACGGCAUUCUAGCAAAAUUAAUACAGAUAUGUUGUUUUCCCUUGUUCUUAAAAGGUACCUGUUAUUUUGACUCCUUCUUUUGUUUCAGCUGGUACACCAACGCCAAACUCGUUUUCUCCAGAGACUCUGAAGUAGUAAGUAGCACCUUCUUGUAAGUUGGUAACUUUGUAGGAAAGGCGGUUACAGUUGUUGGUGACAGAGACCCAUGCUUUCUUGCUGGCCUCACGUUUUUCUAUGUGGUACUUCUUCACUGGUGCUCCUCCAUCGUUUUCAGGAACAUCCCAGGAUAAUACCGCACUCUCUUUGGUUACCUCGUGCACCGUAACAUUGGCAGGAGGACCUGGAGAAUCUAAAACUUUGACAACAAAGAUGAUAGCCAAUGACUCUGCUUCCUCCAUCACUGACUGGCUCAUGCCAUUGUACUUCCAUGCUGUCCUUAGAGGAGAAUGUGACGAACGGUGUGCCAGGUGGACCAGGAACCUUGAAUGGAUACUGGGCAACAAUGGGCUCUGAAUUGAGGUUCAGACUGUACAGGUUCUCCUUUGCCAUAAUGAUUUACAGCGGAGACACGGAAGAUGUACUCAUUUCCCUGGAUAAGCUUGGUUACCACAUGCCUGCAAGACUGAAUAUCUUCAGCAACCACUGUCCACAAAAGUCUGCUGGUUUCUCUCUUUUCAAGAACAUAGGAUUUAAUUGGUGA
rnacentral:lncRNA from 1 species